rnacentral:rRNA from 1 species
GACGAACCGAGCGAACGUUGUUCGGAAUCACUGGGCUUAAAGGGCGCGUAGGCGGGCUGCCAAGUUUGGGGUGAAAUCCUCCGGCUCAACCGGGGCAGUGCCUCGAAUACUGGCGGUCUCGAGGGAGGUAGGGGCGUGCGGAACUGUGGGUGGAGCGGUGAAAUGCGUUGAUAUCCACAGGAACUCCGGUGGCGAAGGCGGCACGCUGGACCUUUUCUGACGCUGAGGCGCGAAAGCCAGGGGAGCGAACGGG